rnacentral:SRP_RNA from 1 species
GCCGGGCAUGGUGACGCAUGCCUGUAAUCCCAGCCACUCAGGAGGCUGAGGCAGGAGAAUCGCUUGAACUCAGGAGGCAGAGGUUGCAGUGAGCCGAGAUCACGCCACUGCACUCCAGCCUGGGCAACAGAAUGAGACUCUGUCUCAA